AGCGAACGCUGGCGGCAGGCCUAACACAUGCAAGUCGAACGGACCCUUCGGGGUUAGUGGCGGACGGGCGAGUAACACGUGGGAACGUGCCUUUAGGUUCGGAAUAGCUCCUGGAAACGGGUGGUAAUGCCGAAUGUGCCCUUAGGGGGAAAGAUUUAUCGCCUUUAGAGCGGCCCGCGUCUGAUUAGCUAGUUGGUGAGGUAAUGGCUCACCAAGGCUACGAUCAGUAGCUGGUCUGAGAGGAUGGCCAGCCACAUUGGGACUGAGACACGGCCCAAACUCCUACGGGAGGCAGCAGUGGGGAAUCUUGCGCAAUGGGCGAAAGCCUGACGCAGCCAUGCCGCGUGAAUGAUGUAGGUCUUAGGAUUGUAAAAUUCUUUCACCGGGGACGAUAAUGACGGUACCCGGAGAAGAAGCCCCGGCUAACUUCGUGCCAGCCGCCGCUGUAAGAC
rnacentral:rRNA from 1 species